rnacentral:rRNA from 1 species
GUCGCACGGGAAUACAUGAGUAGUAAUACAAGUGUUGUCUAGUGGCGCACGGGUGAGUAACAUGUGAAUUACAUGCCCUAUAGUGGGGAAUAGCCCAGGGAAACUUGGAUUAAUACCCCAUAGUCUCGCAAGAGUAAAGGUGGCUGGUAACAGCUGUCGCUAUAGGAUUGGUUCGCACCCUAUCAGCUUGUUGGUGAGGUAAUGGCUCACCAAGGCUACGACGGGUACCUGGUCUGAGAGGACGAUCAGGCACACUGGAACUGAGACACGGUCCAGACACCUACGGGUGGCAGCAGUCGAGAAUAAUUCACAAUGGGGGCAACCCUGAUGGUGCAACGCCGCGUGGAGGAUGACGGUCUUCGGAUUGUAAACUCCUGUCAUCUGGGAGUAAGGCAUGGGUGUUAAUAGCACACAUGAUUGAUAGUACCAGAAGAGGAAGGGACGGCUAACUUCGUGCCAGCAGCCGCGGUAAUACGAAGGUCCCAAGCGUUAUUCGGAAUCACUGGGCGUAAAGGGAGCGUAGGCGGCGUGGUAAGUCAGAUGUGAAAUCCCGGGGCUCAACCCCGGAACUGCAUCCGAUACCGCCAUGCUAGAGGAUUGGAGAGGUAGCUGGAAUUCUUGGUGUAGCAGUGAAAUGCGUAGAGAUCAAGAGGAACACUCGUGGCGAAAGCGAGCUACUG